GUCCCAGUUCGGAUUGUAGUCUGCAACCCGACUACAUGAAGCUGGAAUCGCUAGUAAUCGCGGAUCAGCAUGCCGCGGUGAAUACGUUCCCGGGCCUUGUACACACCGCCCGUCACACCAUGGGAGUUUGUAACGCCCAAAGUCGGUGGCCUAACCUUUAUGGAGGGAGCCGCCUAAGGCGGGACAGAUGACUGGGGUGAAGUCGUAACAAGGUACC
rnacentral:rRNA from 1 species